UGGGGAAUCUUGGACAAUGGGGGCAACCCUGAUCCAGCAAUGCCGCGUGUGGGAUGAAGGCCUUCGGGUUGUAAACCACUUUUGGCGGGGGCGAAAUAUCGAGUGCUAAUACCAUUCGGUGAUGACGGUACCCGCAGAAUAAGCACCGGCUAACUACGUGCCAGCAGCCGCGGUAAUACGUAGGGUGCAAGCGUUAAUCGGAAUUACUGGGCGCAAAGCGUGCGCAGGCGGUUAGGUAAGACAGGUGUGAAAUUCCCGGGCUCAACCUGGGAACUGCAUUUGUGGCUGCCUGACUAGAGUGCGGCAGAGGGGAGUGGAAUUCCGCGUGUAGCAGUGAAAUGCGUAGAUAUGCGGAGGAACACCGAUGGCGAAGGCAACUCCCUGGGCCUGCACUGACGCUCAUGCACGAAAAGCGUGGGGAGCAAACAGGAUUAGAUACCCUGGUAGUCCACGCCCUAAAACGAUGUCGACUAGUUGUUGGACGGGUUACUGUUCAGUAACGAAGCUAACGCGUGAAGUCGACCGCCUGGGGAGUACGGCCGCAAGGUUAAAA
rnacentral:rRNA from 1 species